CCUACGGGUGGCUGCAGUGGGGAAUAUUGGGCAAUGGGCGCAAGCCUGACCCAGCAACGCCGCGUGAAGGAAGAAGGCCUUCGGGUUGUAAACUUCUUUUCUCAGGGACGAAGCAAGUGACGGUACCUGAGGAAUAAGCCACGGCUAACUACGUUCCAGCAGCCGCGGUAAUACGUAGGUGGCAAGCGUUAUCCGGAUGUACUGGGUGUAAAGGGCGUGUAGGCGGGACUGCAAGUCAGAUGUGAAAACCACGGGCUCAACCUGUGGUCUGCAUGUGAAACUGUAGUGCUUGAGUACUGGAGAGGCAGACGGAAUUCCUAGUGUAGCGGUGAAAUGCGUAGAUAUUAGGAGGAACACCAGGGGCGAAGGCGGUCUGCUGGACAGCAACUGACGCUGAGGCGCGAAAGCGUGGGGAGCAAACAGGAUUAGAUACCCGGGUAGUC
rnacentral:rRNA from 1 species